AGAGUUUGAUCCGUAGGCUCAGGACACGCUGGCGGCGUGCCUAACACAUGCAAGUCGAACGGGGAUUUUGUUCGGCAGAAUCCCAGUGGCGAACGGGUGAGUAACGCGUAGGCAACCUGCCCCCCGGAUUGGGACAACACCCCGAAAGGGGUGCUAAUACCGGAUACGAAGAUAGCACCGCAUGGUGUUAUUUUGAAAGAUGGCCUCUAUUUAUAAGCUAUCGCCGGGGGAUGGGCCUGCGUCCGAUUAGCUGGUUGGUGGGGUAACGGCCUACCAAGGCGACGAUCGGUAGCCGGUCUGAGAGGAUGAACGGCCACAUUGGGACUGAGACACGGCCCAGACUCCUACGGGAGGCAGCAGUGGGGAAUCUUCCGCAAUGGGCGAAAGCCUGACGGAGCAACGCCGCGUGGGUGAGAAAGUUCUUCGGAACGUAAAGCCCUGUUGUACAUGACGAACGUGCUUUCUAUCAACAACGGGAAGCAAUGACGGUAGUGUACGAGGAAGCCACGGCUAACUACGUGCC
rnacentral:rRNA from 1 species